AUGGCCGGUGGGGGCUCGGCAGCUGGCGGGGUAGGCGGGUGCGCGGCCGCGCUGGGAGGCAGGCGGCAGCUAGCCGGCCAGGGCCAGGCAGCGGCGCGGCGGCGUGGGCGUGCUGCGGUGCGGCCGCGGGAGGCAGGCGGCCAGCGCAGCAGGGCAGCCGGCAACAAGCAUUAUUGGACCUGGGGCUCUCGUAGUGCAUGCCCAAGUACUCAUGGAAGCCAAAAUGUUGCAGUAGAGAUGGAGGAGGAGGAGGGGCAGAUGGAGGAGCAUGUUGUCCAAGAGCUUGGGGAAGAACGUGUUGAAGAGAAUUUUGAAGGUAUAACUGAGUUCAACCCAGAUUACAUUGGCUGUAUUUAGAUCCAAAGUU
rnacentral:lncRNA from 1 species